AAACUCUGUGCAAAAUAGAACUCUUUGUACAUUACCUCGCAUGGGUAUUUUGCUAUAGCAACUGUUUCCUGGCUCUUCCAUUGUAACUUCUGACCUUUCCUAUGAAGGACUUGCAUUUAGCACUUAGAUGAUACUAAUUCCAGCUCUACGAGGAAAAUUUGUUUUCCAACCUCAUCCAGGAUAUCACAUCACAACCUACCUCCCAUUCCCCUCCCUAAAUGGGAUCUGAUCCAAACCAUCCCACAGACUGAAGGGAGAAAGGGGAGUCAAUCACUUCAGCCAUCUAGGACCCAGAUUCCACGCUGGUGCCAAGAAGAGCAGCUGCCAGCAAACAGGAAAGGGGAAGCUCUGCCCUACCACACAUUCCUGCCAUCGUGUUGCCACCACAGGCCUGAAGUAACAGAGCAAAC